CCUACGGGAGGCAGCAGUGGGGAAUUUUGGACAAUGGGCGAAAGCCUGAUCCAGCCAUGCCGCGUGAGUGAAGAAGGCCUUCGGGUUGUAAAGCUCUUUCAGCCGGAAAGAAAUCGCGCAGGAUAAUACUCUGCGUGGAUGACGGUACCGGCAGAAGAAGCACCGGCUAACUACGUGCCAGCAGCCGCGGUAAUACGUAGGGUGCGAGCGUUAAUCGGAAUUACUGGGCGUAAAGCGUGCGCAGGCGGUUAUGUAAGACAGAUGUGAAAUCCCCGGGCUCAACCUGGGAACUGCGUUUGUGACUGCAUAACUAGAGUACGGCAGAGGGAGGUGGAAUUCCGCGUGUAGCAGUGAAAUGCGUAGAGAUGCGGAGGAACACCGAUGGCGAAGGCAGCCUCCUGGGCCAGUACUGACGCUCAUGCACGAAAGCGUGGGGAGCAAACAGGAUUAGAUACCCUGGUAGUCCACGCCCUAAACGAUGUCAACUAGUUGUUCGGUGAGGAGACUCAUUGAGUAACGCAGCUAACGCGUGAAGUUGACCGCCUGGGGAGUACGGCCGCAAGGUUAAAACUCAAAGGAAUUGACGG
rnacentral:rRNA from 1 species